GCGCCCAUAGCUCAACUGGAUAGAGCACCUGACUACGGAUCAGGAGGUUGGGAGUUCGAAUCUUCCUGGGCGCGCCA
rnacentral:tRNA from 1 species